rnacentral:rRNA from 1 species
AACGAACGCUGGCGGCAUGCCUAACACAUGCAAGUCGAACGAGACCUUCGGGUCUAGUGGCGCACGGGUGCGUAACGCGUGGGAACCUGCCCUUAGGUUCGGAAUAACUCAGAGAAAUGUGUGCUAAUACCGGAUAAUGUCUUCGGACCAAAGAUUUAUCGCCUUUGGAUGGGCCCGCGUUGGAUUAGCUUGUUGGUAGGGUAAUGGCCUACCAAGGCGACGAUCCAUAGCUGGUCUGAGAGGAUGAUCAGCCACACUGGGACUGAGACACGGCCCAGACUCCUACGGGAGGCAGCAGUGGGGAAUAUUGGACAAUGGGCGAAAGCCUGAUCCAGCAAUGCCGCGUGAGUGAUGAAGGCCUUAGGGUUGUAAAGCUCUUUUACCAGGGAUGAUAAUGACAGUACCGGGAGAAUAAGCUCCGGCUAACUCCGUG